rnacentral:lncRNA from 1 species
GGAAAUGUGAGUUACUUCAUUGGAGCUUUUCUGUGGGUGUUUCCUGAGACCAUGUUUUGAUGGGAUAGUAAACAGCACCUAGAAAGCCCAGAGAGUAGAAGAGAGGUUUGACUGCCUCAUUUCUACUCAUCUGUGUUCUGGAGACAAACUUCACCACUUCACAGACUACUAAGGGCCAUUUCUGACGUCCGAAUCAGCAGAAACAGGGAUCACUCUGGAGCAGAAGAACUUUUGAGAGCAGGAAUAUGGGGUACCUCACACUCUCACUGAGUGUAUGGAUUAUGAGGUUUGUUACACCCAGAGUGAAAAAAAAUGGUUAAGCAAGUUCUGUAAUGUCCUUAAAAGCAUUUAUGUACUUUGCUUAAUAUUGCAAGCAAUACCCACUCUGCCCAAUCUUCCUGGGAGUCGUGUUCCUCCCAUGCUUAUAUAAGCAUGAAAAUCAAUUUAACUAUAUUCACUAAAAAUCUAAACCCUUUCCUUCUAAAAGCAAAUGUUUGAUCUUUUUCUUUCAGAAGCAACUAUUUUUACACUCUUUUAUCCAACUUCUGAAACUUAAUUCUGACAAAAAAAAAAUAGGGAGGAACAAAUUAGGCCUCUGGCUUCUAAUAUAGUGCUCUGUUAGCAGAGGCAAUGAGAAUAAUAUAGACAUCUUUGUAAAACCUCAAUCUUAUUUUCUGAUCCUUUAGAAAAUGCAUUCCUCUAAAAACACAUUACCCUACAAGUGGCCUUUGGAGAAACUGAAACAUUGAAGAAAUCCUUGGAUUGCUGGAAGGAACAUUCUCCAUGGACAAUUCUAAUCAAUUACAGAAACAUAACUGUACCCAGAUCAUGUAAUACACCACAGUGAUGAUCCUGGCUUCUGUCCAUCUUAUAAAAUGCUGCAACUCAUAAACAUCAAACCUGCUGCUGUUUGCAACAAUCCUGCCCAGAAAAAAAAUUACUCUCAAUUGAUUGUUACUUUUUCAUGCUGCAAACGAUUGUACAUCUGCAUCUUCUAUUUCAGUUUUGUCCUCUUGUUAUCUUUGUCCACUGUGUUAAUUAUUUUUGGAUGCUUCAUCCCAUCCCCAAACAAUAUAUUUGAAACACUCAUGGGAAUGCAUUGCAUAAAUAUUGAAUGUGUUAAAGACAGAGUCUGAGGUAAUUCAGAAUGAAUUUAAGUAAGUUGGUUGGAAUCAGUUUUUACUUAGGAAAUCUUCUAGGGACAAUCCUGGCAUAUUUAAAAUAACUGUUCACAGAGAUGCAAUCUGCAUGUGCAUUCCAGCAAAUCCAUGAAUCAGCAAUCAGAAAGGAAAAACACCAAUUAAAAUGCAGGAAAACUGCUAAAAAGGAAUUUAGAAAAACAUUACCAGUUACAAUAAUAAAAAACCUAGGAAAAUGCUUCAUAACAAAAAUGUUUUAAUAAGAUCAGAUGAAGAUAAUGUGACAACAAUGAGAUGUUAAAUGAAAAAGGGAAAUGUAGAGUAUACACAAGCUGCAAUUACAUACAUGUUUUAUGGAUUCAGUGGACAAAUAGGAGAUCUGUUCCACCUGACAAACAGAAGUGGCAACAGUAAUUAGAAGUCAAAUGCCUUGCAUUGGAUUUGGAAUAAUGUCUUGGGUCUGACACCAAGGACACAGGCAAUGAAGAAAGGAAAGCAACCCACAGAAUAGAAGAAAAUAUUUACAAAUCAUAUCUAGGAUACAUAAAGAACUCCUAAAACUCAACAAUAACAAAAACAAACAACUUGAUUUUAAAAUGAACAAAAAGACUUGCAUAGACAUUUUUCUAAAGAAAAUAAUCAAUAAACACAUGAAAAAAUACUAUAACGAAGUUUUAUAGAAAUGCAAAUCAAAGCCACAAUGAGAUCCACUUCAUACUCAUUAGGAUGGCUCCAAUUUAAAAAAAAAUCAGGAAAUAAGUGUUGGUGAAGAUACAGAAAAUGAGAGCUCUUAGGUAUUGUUGAUGGGAUCAUACAUUGGUGCAGCCACUGUGGAAAACAGGAUGGCAGUUUCUCAAAAAAAUAAAAAUAAAAUUACCAUAUGAUCUAGCAAUUCUACUCGUGGGUAUAUAACCCGCCCCCCAAUUGAAGGAAGGGUAUUGAAGAGAUAUUUGUAUACCUGUGUUCAUA